rnacentral:rRNA from 1 species
UCAGACGAUGCGUCAUGCAUAUCAAUAAGCGGAGGAAAAGAAACUAACAAGGAUUCCCCUAGUAACGGCGAGUGAAGCGGGAAGAGCUCAAAUUUGAAAUCUUAAAGGGUUUCCCUUUACGAAUUGUAGUUUAAAGAAGUGUUUUCUGUUGAGGUUUUGGUAAAAGUUCUUUGGAAUAGGACAUCAUAGAGGGUGAGAAUCCCGUAUUUGACCUUUACUUUCAACUUUGUGAUACACUUUCAAAGAGUCGGAUUGUUUGGGAAUGCAGUCCAAAAUGGGUGGUAAAUUUCAUCUAAAGCUAAAUAUUGGCGAGAGACCGAUAGCGAACAAGUACCGUGAGGGAAAGAUGAAAAGAACUUUGAAAAGAGAGUUAAACAGUACGUGAAAUUGUCAAAAGGGAAGCGUUUGACACCAGUGUUGUUUUUCUGAGAAAUCAAUUAAAGAACUGUUUAUGCUAAGUUGUUUAGACUUUAUCAGCUAACUGUUUAGUUUUGAGCUUUUCUUUAAUGCACUUUUCAGUUAACAAGUCAACAUCAAUUUCUUUUGCUGUAAAAAAGCUUGAGGAAGGUGGCUUGAGAUUCGUCUUAAGUGUUUAUAGCCUCUUGCCUAUGCAGUCGGAGAGAUUGAGGUCUGCAACGUAGAUCCUUCGGGGCUAAAUGCAUUUGUGCUAAGUUAUAGCAUUUUAUAGACAACUUGUUGACUAUGAUUUGUCUUGUAGCUUACUCGCUUAUGUUAUUUUACCUACGCUUAGGAUGUUGAGCGCAUGUCUCUCUCU